rnacentral:rRNA from 1 species
ACAUGCAGUCGUACAGGUAGCCGAGUUGCUCCUCCGGAUUAGUGGCGAACGGGUGAGUAAUACGUGAGCAAUGUGCCCUUGACUCUGGGAUAAGCGCUGGAAACGGCGUCUAAUACCGGAUACGACCACCGGAGGCAUCUCCUGGUGGUGGAAAGAACUUCGGUCAAGGAUCAGCUCACGGCCUAUCAGCUAGUUGGUGAGGUAAUGGCUCACCAAGGCGACGACGGGUAGCCGGCCUGAGAGGGUGACCGGCCACACUGGGACUGAGACACGGCCCAGACUCCUACGGGAGGCAGCAGUGGGGAAUAUUGCACAAUGGGCGCAAGCCUGAUGCAGCAACGCCGCGUGAGGGACGAAGGCCUUCGGGUUGUAAACCUCUUUUAGCAGGGAAGAAGCGAGAGUGACGGUACCUGCAGAAAAAGCACCGGCUAACUACGUGCCAGCAGCCGCGGUAAUACGUAGGGUGCAAGCGUUGUCCGGAAUUAUUGGGCGUAAAGAGCUCGUAGGCGGUUUGUCACGUCUGCUGUGAAAACCCGAGGCUCAACCUCGGGCUUGCAGUGGGUACGGGCAGACUAGAGUGCGGUAGGGGAGAUUGGAAUUCCUGGUGUAGCGGUGGAAUGCGCAGAUAUC